rnacentral:rRNA from 1 species
CCUACACGACCGUACCGCAAACCGACACUGGUGCGCGAGAUGAGUAUUCUAAGGCGCUUGAGAGAACUCAGGAGAAGGAACUCGGCAAAUUGACACCGUAACUUCGGAAGAAGGUGUGCCUUUAGUAGGUGAAGUCCCUCGCGGAUGGAGCCCAAUGAGGUUGCAAAAAAUCGGUGGCUGCGACUGUUUAUUAAAAACACAGCACUCUGCAAACACGAAAGUGGACGUAUAGGGUGUGACGCCUGCCCGGUGCUGGAAGAUUAAAUGAUGGGGUGCAAGCUCUUGAUUGAAGUCCCAGUAAACGGCGGCCGUAACAAUAACGGUCCUAAGGUAGCGAAAUUCCUUGUCGGGUAAGUUCCGACCUGCACGAAUGGCGUAACGAUGGCCACACUGUCUCCUCCUGAGACUCAGCGAAGUUGAAAUGUUUGUGAUGAUGCAAUCUCCCCGCGGAAAGACGGAAAGACCCCAUGAACCUUUACUGUAGCUUUGUAUUGGACUUUGAACAGAUCUGUGUAGGAUAGGUGGGAGGCUUUGAAGCAGGGUCGCUAGAUCUUGUGGAGCCAACGUUGAAAUACCACCCUGGUGUGUUUGAGGUUCUAACCUAGGCCCGUAAUCCGGGUUGGGGACAGUGCAUGGUAGGCAGUUUGACUGGGGCGGUCUCCUCCCAAAGUGUAACGGAGGAGUUCGAAGGUACGCUAGUUACGGUCGGACAUCGUGACGAUAGUGCAAUGGCAUAAGCGUGCUUAACUGCGAGACUGACAAGUCGAGCAGAUGCGAAAGCAGGACAUAGUGAUCCGGUGGUUCUGUAUGGAAGGGCCAUCGCUCAACGGAUAAAAGGUACUCUGGGGAUAACAGGCUGAUACCGCCCAAGAGUUCAUAUCGACGGCGGUGUUUGGCACCUCGAUGUCGGCUCAUCUCAUCCUGGGGCUGUAGCCGGUCCCAAGGGUAUGGCUGUUCGCCAUUUAAAGAGGUACGUGAGCUGGGUUUAAAACGUCGUGAGACAGUUUGGUCCCUAUCUUCCGUGGGCGCUGCAGAUUUGAGGAAGCCUGCUCCUAGUACGAGAGGACCGGAGUGGACGCACCUCUGGUGUAUCGGUUGUCACGCCAGUGGCAUUGCCGAGUAGCUAUGUGCGGAAGAGAUAACCGCUGAAAGCAUCUAAGCGGGAAACUCGUUUCAAGAUGAGAUCUGCCGGGGCCUUGAGCCCCCUGAAGAGUCGUUCAAGACCAGGACGUUGAUAGGUCGGGUGUGGAAGCGCAGUAAUGCGUUAAGCUAACCGAUACUAAUUGCUCGUGCGGCUUGACC